UACAGAGGGUGCAAGCGUUGUUCGGAAUUAUUGGGCGUAAAGGGCGCGUAGGCGGCUUGGUAAGUCAAAGGUGAAAUCCCUCGGCUCAACUGAGGAAUUGCCUUUGAAACUGCCUGGCUUGAGGCCGGGAGGGGGUAGCGGAAUUCCCAGUGUAGCGGGUGAAAUGCGUAGAUAUCCGGAGGAACACCAGUGGCGAAGGCGACUUUCUGGCCUGUUCUUGACGCUGAGGCGCGAAAGCUAGGGGAGCAAACGGG
rnacentral:rRNA from 1 species